UACGGAGGAUCAAGCGUUAUCCGGAUUUAUUGGUUUAAAGGGUGGCGUAGGUGGUUUUUAAGUCAGGGGUGAAAGUACGGCAAGCUUAACUGUCGCAGUGCCUUUGAUACUGAAGAACUUGUAAUCCACUGAGAGGUAGGCGGAAGUGAUGACAAGUAGCGGUGAAAUGACAUAGAUAUGAUCACAGAACACCAAUUGCGAAGGCAGACUUACUAUGGUGGUAUUGACACUGAGGCACGAAAGCGUGGGGAUCAAACAGG
rnacentral:rRNA from 1 species